GCGACUAUGGUGUAACGGUUAACACACAGGUUUGUGGUACCUGUAAUUCGGGUUCGAUUCCCGGUAGCCGCC
rnacentral:tRNA from 1 species